UUGUCCAUGGAAAAAAAAGACGCUUGUUUAAUAGUUUUCUGCUAAAACACUUCUGAAUUGAAUAUUACAAAAUGAAGCAGCACAAGCUGUCUGCAAAAAAACGCCUUACAAAGCCGCUUCUCUUCGGCGCACUGAUUGCAGGACUUGCAACAGCGUUCUAUAACAGGCACUUGUUCUUUGAAGAUGUGGAAGAUCUUCGAGCUCAAGAACGAGCUCGUAAUGAUGCCAAACGCUUAGAGGUGUUAGAAAGGAGGCAGAAACAAAUGGAGAGGAAAAAUGCAGGAAACAGUUGAACUCAGACUCUGAAGCAAGGACAGGACAUUUCUGCUCACCUGGUCUGAAGGCAGGAAAACAGGAUGUCCACAAUCUCACUAUUCAAAAAAAAAACAACAACCCUAAGUUUGUUUUCUUUGCAAAAUUGGAGCUACACAGGAUACAGGAAGUUUACUCAGAAAACUACCCUUGCUGUGGAAGUAAUAAAAAAUGACCUCUGUGUUUUUGUGGGCAAUAAUAAUUCCAGUGAAUUACUUUGUCUGUAUGAGGAGAUGAUUGAACAACACUGUCUAACAAACGACCAAGAAGCUCGAAAAGAAGGACCUAAACGAAUAGCUAUAAUCUGACAGUAUUUGUAUUUUAUCCACAGAAUUGUGUUGGCUACUUAAUGUCAAAUUCCUAAAAAAUUGAUGGCACAAGUUCAUACAAUGCUUUUCUUCUGUCAGAGUAGCACAUAAUGAGUGUCCUUAUCUUUAGUCCAGUACCUACCAAGUGUCACAUUGUCUGCCUUUGUAUGAAAGAAAAUGAAAUACAUUAUAAACACUUUAAAGCCUAUUUUAUUCAAA